AACGAACGCUGGCGGCAGGCCUAACACAUGCAAGUCGAACGCACCUUUCGGGGUGUGUGGCAGACGGGGGUGUAACGCGUGGGAAUCUACCCUUCUCUACGGGAUAGCUCCGGGAAACUGGUAUUAAUACCGUAUACGUCCUGAUGGAGAAUGAUUUAUCGGGGAAGGAUGAGCCAGCGUUGGAUUAGCUUGUUGCUUGGCUAAUGGCCUAACAAGGCGACAAUCCAUAGCUGGUCUAAGAGAAUGGUCAGCCACAUUGGGACUCGGACACGGCCCAAACUCCUACGGGAGGCAGGAGUGGGGAAUAGUGGAAAGUGGGCGCAAGGAUGAAGCAGCCAUGCCGCGAAAGUGAUGAAGGCCGUAGAGUUGAAAAGCUCUAUCAGUGAGGACGAUAAUGACGGUACCCACAGAAGAAGCCCCGGCUAACUUCGUG
rnacentral:rRNA from 1 species